GUGUCUGUAGUUGUUCUCCAGAGAGCGGAGACACAGAGCAGCAAUGCUGUAAGCAACUUUAAGCCAGGUAUGAUCAUAAAUCAUCAAAUCAUACCUAGAACUACUUAUCUGGAACUCCCAAAUGUGGACUUUUAAGAUCACGCUAUGUCGCCGUGGAAUUGGAGGACAUAAGGUGUUUCUGUUUCAAAUUUUUGAUUGGGAUAAAUAUUCUGCAAGGCUGGGAGAAGAGGGCAACAGCACAUCCAUUUACUUUGGCAGUAGUUUUGUUGGAGUGUGACCUGUAACCAGCACUCUGAGCAAAAAUGUCAACCCAAGAUUAACAUAGGAACUGGCAGCGGUGAAGUCAGAAAGCCAGCUCAAGGGACUGGCAUGUAUGAACUUGUAGAUUGACAGUUAAAUUAAGAAGCUGUUUUAGAAGUCUUUCGUGCAGGAUGACUCAUUUUGUAAAACCAUCUGAGGUCAAACAUGGGGAUGGAAGUAGACUAAAAUAGCAACUGGUGCUAAUGUAGGAAAUAUACCUCUAGAGGACUUUGAAAUGGGAAAUGUUUCUGAAAAGUGGUCCAUGUGGAAGAAGAAGAUCAUUUUGGUUCUUGCAGGACAAGAAGCAGACGAAUUGUCAAAGACCCAAAAGGCUGCACAUUUACAACUAUGAACUGGACAGAAAGGAAACAAGAUCAGCAAUACACAGGAACCCAACAGACAGAUCAUCUCAGCUGACUGAAAAAGCCUGGACAAAUUAUUUUGUUCAGGAGUAUUUUAAUCUAUGCCAAAAUAUAUCAUUUCAAAGGUUGUUUUUGAUUUUUUUUAAUGUAGUAAAGUCAAUAGACAAAUGGUUACCUCAGCUGCAAUACAAAAUAAAAGACUGCAUUUUCAUAUGAA